rnacentral:rRNA from 1 species
UACGGAGGGGGCGAGCGUUAUUCGGAAUCAUUGGGCUUAAAGGGCGCGUAGGCGGCGGUGUAAGUUGGAAGUGAAAUCCCAUCGGCUCAACCGUGGAAUUGCUCCCAGUACUGCAUCGCUCGAGGGGGAUAGGGGUUUGCGGAACUACCGGUGGAGCGGUGAAAUGUGUUGAUAUCGGUGGGAACGCCAGUGGCGAAAGCGGCAAACUUGACCCUUCCUGACGCUGAGGCGCGAAAGCUAGGGGAGCAAACGGG